AGCAGCCGCGGUAAUUCCAGCUCCAAUAGCGUAUAUUAAAGUUGUUGCAGUUAAAAAGCUCGUAGUUGAAUUUCAGGAUCAAUAUGUCGGUCGUGCCUCCGGUACGUACUGGCAUCAUUGAUUUCUCCCUUCUGACGAACCAUGAUGUCAUUAAUUUGGUGUCAUGGGGAGUCAGGACUGUUACUUUGAAAAAAUUAGAGUGUUUAAAGCAGGCUCACGCUUGAAUACAUUAGCAUGGAAUAAUGAAAUAGGACGUUUGAUUCUAUUUUGUUGGUUUCUAGGAUCGACGUAAUGAUUAAUAGGGAUAGUUGGGGGCAUUAGUAUUCAAUUGUCAGAGGUGAAAUUCUUGGAUUUAUUGAAGACUAACUACUGCGAAAGCAUUUGCCAAGGAUGUUUUCAUUAAUCAAGAACGAAAGUUAGGGGAUCGAAGACGAUCAGAUACCGUCGUAG
rnacentral:rRNA from 1 species